AACGACGAUCGGAGAUGUCGGCAACGGGAACGGCCGAAACAAGACAACCACACACACACACACAGAAAAUGGCAGAAGUAGCAGCCACAACAAUAAUAGCAAAAACAACACAACGUUUCUGACGUAUAUACGUAUAUAUCGGACUUUGAUAGCAACAACGCGCGCGUCGCGUCGUUUUCGGCAAACUUGAACUUGGGGCGAACGGUUUUGCGGUAUUAAGAGUCGAUCGACGCUGUCUUUCCGGUCGCACGUUUCUGAGCGUAAUGAUUUACUGUUCCUGCUGCAGCACGUUUUUAAACAGAGAGCAAACGCAAACAGCAGCAGCAGCAACAAAUACAACAACAACAAAAACAAGCGCAACAACGAAAACAGCAACAACACGUUUCGAAACAGAGCGAGAGCGUUAUGCGUUAUGUAGCAAUGUUAAUCGUCGACUUGAGCAUACCCUGCAGCAGGAUUUCGGGUAUGCGCUAUAUUGUUGUACAGAAAUGUGCGAUUUGUAAAUUUAUUUGUUAUAUCUAUAUAACGAGUACCCCAACGUAUUUGUAAUGCUUGUCAGCGCUUCUUAAUUUUAUUAAAGUGUUUUUAUGCUAAA